rnacentral:rRNA from 1 species
GUCGAGGGGCAGCAUUUCAGUUUGCUUGCAAACUGGAGAUGGCGACCGGCGCACGGGUGAGUAACACGUAUCCAACCUGCCGAUAACUCGGGGAUAGCCUUUCGAAAGAAAGAUUAAUACCCGAUGGUAUAAUCAGACCGCAUGGUCUUAUUAUUAAAGAAUUUCGGUUAUCGAUGGGGAUGCGUUCCAUUAGGCAGUUGGUGAGGUAACGGCUCACCAAACCUUCGAUGGAUAGGGGUUCUGAGAGGAAGGUCCCCCACAUUGGAACUGAGACACGGUCCAAACUCCUACGGGAGGCAGCAGUGAGGAAUAUUGGUCAAUGGGCGCAGGCCUGAACCAGCCAAGUAGCGUGAAGGAUGACUGCCCUAUGGGUUGUAAACUCCUUUUAUAUGGGAAUAAAGUUUUCCACGUGUGGAAUUUUGUAUGUACCAUAUGAAUAAGGAUCGGCUAACUCCGUGCCAGCAGCCGCGGUAAUACGGAGGAUCCGAGCGUUAUCCGGAUUUAUUGGGUUUAAAGGGAGCGUAGGUGGACAGUUAAGUCAGUUGUGAAAGUUUGCGGCUCAACCGUAAAAUUGCAGUUGAUACUGGCUGUCUUGAGUACAGUAGAGGUGGGCGGAAUUCGUGGUGUAGCGGUGAAAUGCUUAGAUAUCACGAAGAACUCCGAUUGCGAAGGCAGCUCACUGGACUGCAACUGACACUGAUGCUCGAAAGUGUGGGUAUCAAACAGGAUUAGAUACCCUGGUAGUCCACACAGUAAACGAUGAAUACUCGCUGUUUGCGAUAUACAGUAAGCGGCCAAGCGAAAGCAUUAAGUAUUCCACCUGGGGAGUACGCCGGCAACGGUGAAACUCAAAGGAAUUGACGGGGGCCCGCACAAGCGGAGGAACAUGUGGUUUAAUUCGAUGAUACGCGAGGAACCUUACCCGGGCUUAAAUUGCAUUUGAAUAANUUGGAAACAGNNUAGCCGCAAGGCAAAUGUGAAGGUGCUGCAUGGUUGUCGUCAGCUCGUGCCGUGAGGUGUCGGCUUAAGUGCCAUAACGAGCGCAACCCUUAUCUUUAGUUACUAACAGGUCAUGCUGAGGACUCUAGAGAGACUGCCGUCGUAAGAUGUGAGGAAGGUGGGGAUGACGUCAAAUCAGCACGGCCCUUACGUCCGGGGCUACACACGUGUUACAAUGGGGGGUACAGAAGGCAGCUACCUGGUGACAGGAUGCUAAUCCCAAAAGCCUCUCUCAGUUCGGAUCGAAGUCUGCAACCCGACUUCGUGAAGCUGGAUUCGCUAGUAAUCGCGCAUCAGCCAUGGCGCGGUGAAUACGUUCCCGGGCCUUGUACACACCGCCCGUCAAGCCAUGAAAGCCGGGGGUACCUGAAGUACGUAACCGCAAGGAGC